GCACAUACAUAUUUGUUGGCAUGGUUGCUGAACUAUUGUUCUUGUAAAGGAGGAGUAAUAAUCCAUCAUCAUCUAAUGAAAUGUAAUGCUAGGGGCUACUUACAUUGGAGAGAAUGGCAGAACUCUCAUUGUUUUGAAUGGAAGAAGGAACAGGCUCUGAAAUUUAAACACUAAGCUUGAGUAAACAAAACAUAUAGCAAAAGCUCCUCAUUAGAAGUAUUUAUGAUGACUGUGGAGCCUGGGAGUCUUUUGGGCGUGGAAUGUCCAAGGUGAAGUGGUGCAGAGUGCAGGAUUUUCUGAAAUUAACCAGUUCAGUGCACACCACAGUCAUUAGUGCGGUGGACAGCUAGGGAGCUUCUCCAUGGAGUCUUAAGGCAUAGAAAUCAUGCAGAACUUCACACAUAGUUUACACCAUAACACUGACUGCUGAUGGUGAGCCUUGUGUAAUCUUGCGGAUCUUCUUGGUUAAUGAUGAAAAAUUACUAUCUUUGAAGUUUGGUGCAAUCCAGAUACUUGGGCAUUUAGAUCCAUCUUUCUUUGACAACAUGUUAAAUUCCACUGGUGUGACAGUGGUUUGGAGCAUAUUCAGGUUAGGGACAGCAGGACGACGAUGGCUUGGUUUGGUAGAACACUGACUUUCUGGCCUUAGGUCAGGCCAGGGCUUAUCAAUGUUCUUGAUAAGAUGCAAGUGAGUGGACAUUCUCGUUUUAAGCCUUUCCUCCCCAUUUCUUUUCUCACAAGCACAAAGAGGAGGUGAGAACAGGUCUACACUAAUUUAUGAAAGACCAGCCUUCUGCAUUCAUCCCUGCAUUAGUAAAACAACUGAGGUUUGGCUGUUAUUAGUGCACUUUUCUUCAGUGUGAUUAAGACCAUCAGAAUCACUGGCUGAGUAAGGUCAUUAGCAUCAAAAUACUUUGAGUAUGUGGAUAUUGCUGCUUUCUUCUGAGAAGGCAUAAGUGGCAUUAAAAUAGUUUUCUCACCUUCUACACGUUUACUGCUGGAACUUACUGACUUUCCACAGCAGUAAAAUUAGUUAUAUUUUGUUUCAGCGUUACUACCCUGGUGUUUCUAGAGCAGUGGUUCUUGCUCUUCUCAGAGUGGGGAACCUCUAGUCUUUCCUGAUGCAGGCUGAACCCCAUUACAAAUGUCACACAGGUAGUCAUCAUCAAACUAUUUGGGGAAUUUGCAUUUACCACCUUCUUUCUUAUCGACCUUCAAGCAGGCAUAUCCCUUACUACAAAGGGUUCUAGUUGAAAAUGGCAGUUACAGUAAAUUCUGAGAUUUUGUACCGUGAAGAAAUACAAGUUUGCACAGGAAUGUUCAAACCUAAACAUAAAACCCCACUUUCAUUGAAAACCAAAUGACUGACUGUUCUGUGACUCUGUAUCAAUAUGAAAAAGUGGGAUGACCAAAUAAGGGAUAAAUAAACUGAGAGUCAUUUGAAAAUAUAUGAAUUUCACAGAUGUCUCAGCUCAGAACCCAAAGAGUAUCAUUUUUGCCUCAUGACCACAAAGGUUAAAUUAGCAAAGCUAUUUAUAUGCAACGUAAAUAUUUUGUAUCAUAAAUAUUUUGUCCAUCUUCUUUCAACACCAGAUCCUCAAAUUUGCAAUUGGUAUAAGACUUACUUCUCAAUUAAAAUAUAGCAAUUAUUGUCUAAGAUAGCAGCUAUGCCUUUGAUCUAGACCUAGGUGAGGUCAGUAAGCAGAGCACUCAGAAAAAGGUACAAGAAAUCCAAUAGAAGAAAAUAAUCUAACAAUCUGCUAUGGGUAUAUUUCCAUUCCAAGGGUUUCCUCAUUCCUUUUCAACUCAAAGCAUAAAUGCUUGCACUGCUAAUGUAUUUACUUAGUAAGUUUUAUGGUCUAUAAUGGUCUACCCAGAGGAGUGCCUUUAACGCUUUUGAAUCCAUUCAGCUUUUGACUUCAGGGAUAUCAUGCAGAGGCAAAUACAAUUAUGUCAACAAAUAACUUAUUUCAAAUUUAUAUCCCUUCACCCGAACGAAGUUUUUCAUUAUUUCCAGCAUCACAUUUCUUUGUCAUAGUGUUUUGAAUGCUUUUCCUUUUUUUGUGGCAGAAAGACCAGAAUAGCCACAAAUUCUCUAGUGACUUUCUCAGAUUUUUAAAGUCUAAUUACUACACCAUUACAUACAACACAUUUUAAUGCUGCCUGCUGCAUUCUGAAUAGAUAUGGUGUGGCUCAUUCAAAUGGUAAAAACACGAUACAUUUCAUGAAAGUCUAGCUAGCACUUUGCAAGAAUCAGACCAGCUCAUGAUAAAAGUCUCUGGUUUUUAAAAUUUCACAUUUCUGAACUGUAAUAAAAAUCUUUAUAUAUAUCUAUAUCUGUAUAUAUAUAACCUGAUAAGUCAUUUGAUUACUAAAUACUCUUCCAGAAUACUUAGAUGAAUGCUAGCUGAUCUUGAUGACCUAUUUUUUACAGACUUGUUAAUUUAUUGCAUCUGCUGUUACUGUAGUGACUGCUUCAUAAAGUAGCUCUCAAUCUUUAAAGCUCAGAAAGAGAAGGUGUGGGAGAAAGAAAAGUUCUGUCAUCCGCAGUUUAAAGAUUUUAAUUUUCUACGUCUUAACGUGAAGACUUUUGGACUCCUUUUCUUUCUGUAGUGCAAUUUUUUGAUGCUUUUUUCAGUUUAAUCCCUAAAAGGUGUUUUUGGUCUAUUUUACCCCAGUAAGAGAUACAGCUACCUCGUGAAAAAAAAAAUUGUAUGUUGCUAAUGCUUAUAAAGCUGGUCACACUAUAAAAGAAUACCAUGAGCUCAUAGUGCAAUAGAGAAUUGCCAUACCUUUCAUAACAGUUAAUAUUUAAAUAUUCUUUAAACUAGCAAUUGACUGUUUAAUAGCUGCAUGUGAGAAGUAAAGAAAUGUGUGAAAUUUUGUUGAUCAUUUUAAUGAUUUUUCAUUAGAGAACUGUCAACUCUCAGCUGCCCAGUAGCUUUUCUGUCUUUUCCUACUUCAGAACAAUUAUUUCCCUACUACCACAGAUUUGGUCAUCUAGAUGGCAGGUCCAUUAUCCUGCAAAUAAAGGAUUUCUUCUCAGUGGGAAAGUGGAGAAAAGAACAGAGGUGAAGUGAAGAAUAUAAACAAGCAUUUAUGAGUUUUCUUGGCCUAGUGUCCUCCAAAGAGCAGAAAGGCUAAGGUACAUCAUCUGCAUGUGUCUGAUGUUAUACUGCAAUGUAUGUUCUUGAAAGACAUGAUCAGACAUGAUGAGAAUAGAGGCUGUUUAAUCCAAAAAAACUUCUGUGUGGAUCCUGCCUAAACCAUCGCAAUCUGUUUGUUCAUCUGCUAAUGGGAGAGGCUACACCAUUAAGAGAAAAGAGGCUUUUUGCACACAAGCCAUAACUUGAAUCCUGACAGCUUUUCACAAACAGUGCAAUACAAAAAUUGCUCCUAGCUUUCACGAGCAUGAAAUGUUCUGGAGUUUGCCAAAGAUGUAGCGUGUCAAGUCUGUCUUUCUCCUCCUUUCUUUGCAAUCUCUUUUCUCUGUGGUGAAGACAGACUUUUGAUUAAUGCUGCAAAAAGUUCCUUGGAAGACCUUCAGCAAAUCACUGGGAAGGGCUGUCACUGAAUCAAUGAGCUCUGGAUUAGGAGCCAAAUCUCCCAAUCCCCACUUGCAAAAUGCAAGAUAAAAUACUCCUUUCCCAUUCUCAUUUUAUUUUUUCCAGAGCAGGGACUGGUUCCAAAGCAGUUAUGUUGACAGUGAAGUUGCAGUAUCUUAUUAUAUUUCUGGUAGAAUAUGACAGCCCAAGAGCCAUGACGUUACACAGUACUUCUAGGAUCCUAAGCAUGGCUGCAGCAUUAUAGAGGAUUGUCCUGGUAUAUCUUCAUCAACUACAUCAAGGCUUCUUUUGCCAGAAGAAAUAAAGAAUAUUCUGAAACUACAGAGAGUUCAUAGGCAAUGGGGCAAUACCACGGAAGGAUUAAGUGAACAAAACUUGCUCUCAGAAGCUGACACUGAAUAAAUCCUGAUGAACCCCACGCACACCUUCCAGGAAUGAGAUGACCUGCACCCAUUCCAAGUAAGAAACUUUUCUCUUUUAGCAGUGGAGGUGCCAAGCAAUUUUAGUGGGAAGCAAAAUCCAGCAACAACCAAAGGACAUUUGUACAGUUUUUUCAGUUUAUUUUAUAGAAUCUCAAAUUGUUGAACCUGGAAAACAUCUCUGGAGAUCAUCUAGUUCACCGCCCUUACUCAAAGAGGAGUCAGCACAGUACUGUGUCCAGUCAGGCUUGAAUAUCUCUGAGAAUAAAGACUUCACAACCUCUUUGGGAACCUCUUUCAGUGUAUUAUCCCAGCAGCACAUCCGUGUAACAUACUAGCCACUCUUCCCAAUUUCGUAUCAUCUGCAGACUUGCUGACUGGCUUGACCAAGCCAAUCACUGAAGAAGGCUAUCAGGUUUGCCAAGAAAGAUUUCCCCUGCAUAAAAUCAUGGUGACUGCUCCCAUUUGACUUGUUGUUCUUCAUAUGUCUGGAAACAAUUCCAGCAUCAUUUGUUCUAUCACUUUCCCGGUGAUCAAGUAUAUGAAAGAGACAGAUGAAGUGGAGCCUAGACAUAUUCUGCUGAAGCCUGUGAAAAAGAGCCUGUCUUGGCCUGCACCUCUAGUAUGGCAAAACAUCAUCCAGACAUCAAAGGGAAGAAGAGAGGAACAAAUACAGUUUCUGUGAUGAACAUUCAGAAGGUUGCCUCCAAUUUAUCAGUUUGAUGAGGGGAAAGAGAUCACAUUCUCCAAAGCUCUGCUCAUUCCAGACCCCCACAAGAAAUGUCAGUAACCAUGGAAGGAAUGUGCAGAUACUCACAGUGAGGUCACUUCCCAUGGUUGCCACCCACUGGAUCAGGCUGCUCAGUGUCCCAUCCAAACUGGCCUUGGACACCUCCAUGGAAGGGACAUCCUCAGCUUCUCUGGGAAGCCUGUACCUCACCACUCUUAAAAUAAAGAAUUUCUUCCAAAUGUCUAAUCUCAAUCUACACUCUUUUAGUUUUAAACCAUUACCCCUUGUCCUAUCACUGCAUUCUCUGUUAAGGAGUGUCUCUCCAGAUUUCCUAUAGGCCACUUUAGGUACUGAAAGACCACAGUGUGGUCUCCAUGGAGCCUUCUUAAAGCUGAACAAGCCCAACUGUCUCAGCCAGUUUUCACAGAAGAGCUCCCACACUGAAGGAUCUCUGUUCACUACCAUGACAGAACCAUAUACUGACCACAGCAUCUUAUAUGGCCACAGUAGAAACUGUCAAAAGCACAGAUUCUUUUUUGAAGAAUGUCAUCUAGGCUGGGUCAAAUUAAUCAAAAUGUAGGUCCUCCUCUUUCUUGGAUACACAAUGGGCAGUGUGUACAGUACAUGAAAUAAAAAAACAGUUCACAUUGUGGUUUUUUGUUUUUUGUUUUUUUUAUCAAUAAGUUCAUGCUUGGUAUAAUGUUGAUAGGUAUCCUUGCCUUAUUUUGACAUGCUUCAAGUGGUGUUGCGAAACAUGAGCACAAAAGUUGACCACAAACAUUGUCACGGUCUUACCUCUAGAACAAUAAUUCCCACAAAAUGUAAUGCCCAUUGAGCAGCAAUACUCAAAUAAAAAGGAAUUUUAUAAACAGAGCUUAGAAAGUCCAUUAACUGGGAUGCAGCAAGUGGGCUUCAGUGAAGACUGGUGCUCUGCAGUUCUUUCAUUGCUGAGGGCAGCAUUACUGGAAACAUCUUCAGUUUAUAUCCCUGUAAACAGAUUUCUGUGCUAAGGAUAAACGAACUGGGAGCUACACUCUCCCCAUGGCUGUUUGGCCAGUAUGAGUCCAUUUCAUCUUGUGUGGGGCAUUUGUGAAAUAGAGCUGCCGAAGCAUUUCCAUGAAAGUCAGUGAUUGCCUAAUCCCUUGCAAGUGUACUCUUCAGAAGUUAGACCAAUUUCGGCUUCUCUUUUAUUUGCGAACAUUGCAGCAAAUCUUUCCUUCUUGUUUUUGGUCUCCAGCCCACUCUAAUUCCAGUGACUCAUACUGUGGUGAAAAUAGGUUAUGUGACAGACAGAAAUGUUGGUUUUACUGUUUCAGAGAUAAAAGAAGUACAGUUUGAGCCCUCUGUGUGUGACCCAAGGUAGCAAGUGCUUAGGUAUUUGCCGCAUGAAGACUAAAUGCAUACAGCUACAAUGUGAGUAGUCUGGCAUGGGAGAAGUGAGGAUGCAUUCUGCAUUGACUUUUCUCCCCAGGAGGGACAGAGAAAUAAGGGAAAGGGAAGAAGAGAAGGGGAUGGCAUCUCUUUAGGUUUCUCUCAACUCCACUUUCCUUAAUGUACAAUACAUACUGAAAUACAUGCUGAAAUGA